CUGGCCUCCUCCUUCUCCAUCCUCUCCAGAUCUUCAUAGUUCGGGAUCCGUAGAUCCAGCCCCGGGUUGGAAACGAGCAGUUUCAUGUUGAGGCUCCGCUGAAGCAGAGACGUGGAUCCUAUCGCCCAUCCAAGUCAAACAUUUCCUCUGAAUGAAUUUAAAGAGGGCGACUGCUGGGACGACCAAACUGGGGAUUCCAGCCAAGAUGAAGACGAUUACGUAGGUCCAGGAAGGGAUAGUUGAAGGUGUUCAUCAGCUUCAGUAUGUUGCUACAAAAACAGCCCAUGGAGAUGAGUUCAGUUCGUCACAGCUCAUCACAUUCAUCUUUUGGUCUCCGGCCGGCAUGACACUCACUCUCCCAUGCAGUCGUCG